rnacentral:lncRNA from 1 species
AGUGCUGUAACUACAAGAAGUGGGAGAAUUCUAGUUGAGCCACAACUUAAGCAGCAGGACAAAGAAGAAAAGCCCGAUGAAGCCAAGGACGAUGCAAUUAGUGAGAAGUCACCAGAAUCCACCGAGCCUAGCUCUUCUAAGGUAAGUGGAAAACCUAAGGUUUCAAUUCCUCAAUCACUGAUUGCACCACCUUUUUCUGCUAGGCUGGCUCAGAACAAGAGAAUUGAAGAGGAAAAUGAUAUUCUAGAAAUUUUCAAGAAGGUAGAAAUAAACUUGCCCUUGCUUGAUGCAAUUAAGCAAGUUCCCAAGUACGCAAAGUUUUUGAAAGAGUUAUGCUCGAAGAAAAUGAAGUUUGGGAAUGAUGCGAGAAUUCGGGUGAGUGAGAAUGUUUCUGCUGUUCUUCAAAGAAAAUUACCCCAAAAGUGUCGAGAUCCUGGUAUGUUCACCAUUCCAUGCAUUAUAGGUAAUAAGACUGUUGAGAGAGCCAUGUUAGAUUUAGGAGCGUCCAUAAAUGUCAUGCCUUAUUCUGUGUAUAAGGAUUUGCAGUUAGGACCAUUGAAAGACACUCGUGUUAUCAUUCAGUUAGCUGAUAGGUCUACUGCAUAUCCCGAAGGUGUUGUUGAGGAUGUCCUUGUCAAGGUCAAUGAUUUGAUUUUUCCUGUGGAUUUUUAUAUUGUUGAUAUGGAUGAUUCUGCCUCUGCUAAGCAAUCUUUGAUUCUUUUAGGGAGACCAUUCAUGAAAACUGCUAAGGCAAAAAUUGAUGUGGAUAGUGGAAUGCUUAGCCUUGAAUUUGAUGGAGAUGUUGUCACAUUUAAUAUUUUUUAGGCUAUGAAGCAUGUUGAGGNCUGAGCCACACCUAAGCAGCAGGACAAAGAAAAGCCCGAUGAAGCCAAGGACGAUGCAAUUAGUGAGAAGUCACCAGAAUCCACCGAGCCUAUCUCUUACUAAGGUAAGUGGAAAACCUAAGGUUUCAAUUCCUCAAUCACUGAUUGCACCACCUUUUCCUUCUAGGUUGGCUCAGAACAAG